rnacentral:tRNA from 1 species
UCCCUGGUGGCUCAGACGGUAAAAGCAUCUGCUUAAAAUGUGGAAGACCCAGGUUCUAUCCCUGGGUGGGGAA